rnacentral:rRNA from 1 species
UACGAAGGGGACCAGCGUUGUUCGGAAUUACUGGGCGUAAAGCGCGCGUAGGCGGAUCGCUAAGUCAGGGGUGAAAUCCCAGGGCUCAACCCUGGAACUGCCUUUGAUACUGACGAUCUGGAGAUCGGGAGAGGUUGGUGGAAUUCCGAGUGUAGAGGUGAAAUUCGUAGAUAUUCGGAGGAACACCAGAAGCGAAGGCGGCCAACUGGCCCGAUACUGACGCUGAGGCGCGAAAGCGUGGGGAGCAAACAGG